rfam:Sporosarcina sp. HYO08 scaffold_14, whole genome shotgun sequence.
CAUUAGGGAAGGCAGUCUAAGAACGCGACGUCCUGUCGCAACGACUGCAUGACCCGCAUCCUGCGGG